GUUUAUGUAGCUUAAAUUUAGAGCAUGGCAUUGAAGAUGCUAGGGUAAUCAUUGAUUUUUAAACA
rnacentral:tRNA from 1 species